AUUUUAUUUUGGGGGUUUUGUCAGAGAAGGUGAUGGGGAUGCAAAAGUGUGGUGUUAUAUUAUGAAGGGAAAAUCGCGUUAAAAAGAAAAAAAAGUUUUUCUUGGUCAGUGCAGUGGGUUGUGUACUUGUAUCCAGAGAAUUUUAGUGAAAAUAAAAGAAGGUUCACAAUUUUGGAUCUCCUUUAGUCGGGGUUGAUAUUUUCUUAAAGAAGUUCAGAUUUCUGAGCAUUAUGUGAAAUUUGGAUUUUGCAGUUCUGAUUGCCAAAAAAAUGAGGCUGUCUUCUGCUGGUUUUUCUCCCCAAACCCAGGAAGGUGGUGGACCAGUUACAGUCUGGUGGUCAAUCUAAAAGAAAAGGCUGCAGAACUGAGUUGCCAAGGUCUGUUGUGGGAAGUCGCAUAAUAGACAUAAUGAAGGAAGAAAAAAAGAAUGAUGUGGUUUGGCAAGGCAAAUGUUCGGGUACAGUAUAUAUCAGGGGAAGUGAAUGUGAGGGGCAUUUCUCAAUGAUAAAUGAGGCUUGUUCUAUGUUAGUAUACCAAGCAUGGCUCUUUUGCACUUAUCUUACUUUCAAAGA